rnacentral:lncRNA from 1 species
GCUCCACCCAGUUCGAGCUUCCUGGCUGCUUUGUUUACCUAAGCAAGCCUGGGCAAUGGUGGGCGCCCCUCCCCCAGCCUGGCUGCUGCCUUGCAGUUUGAUCUCAGACUGCUGUGCUAGCAAUCAGCGAGACUCCGUGGGGUAGGACCCUCAGAGCCAGGUGCGGGGUAUAAUCUCGUGGUGCGCCGUUUUUUAAGCCCGUCGGAAAAGCGCAGUAUUCGGGUGGGAGUGACCCGAUUUUCCAGGUGCUGUCCGUCACCCCUUUCUUUGAUUAGGAAAGGAACUCCCUGACCCCUUGCGCUUCCCGAGUGAGGCAAUGCCUCGCCCUGCUUCGGCUCGCGCACGGUGCGCGCACCCACUGACCUGCGCCCACUGUCUGGCACUCCCUAGUGAGAUGAACCCGGUACCUCAGAUGGAAAUGCAGAAAUCACCCGUCUUCUGCGUCGCUCAGGCUGGGAGCUGUAGACUGGAGCUGUUCCUUUUCGGCCAUCUUGGCGCCUCCCUCAGCCCACAUGUGAAUCACAGCUUCUACUGCAUGCCCACUCCUUUUGCCUAAAUAUGCAGUUAUCAUCAUACAUCCAGAAUUGCCCUCUGAAUAAAAAAUACUUUAACUUGAAG